UGAUGAAUGGAGGUUGACUGCUUGUGGUGAAGUUGGUAUUCCAGGAAAGAAACUGAGGUGCCUCCUCCUGUCACAGGGAGCUGCCCGGAUUCCCACCCAAAGGAUGGAACAUCCCCAAACAUCUGGAGCAGAACGAAACCAGGUGGAUGAAUACAAAGUGCUCAACAGGAGAAGAGCAGAUGGGUCACUGAUAUUAUUGUCUGAAGCCCUGGCCCCUUACAGAGUGGGGCAAACAGGAGAAAAUUACUCCCAGCACGUCUGCCUGCCCACGCAGAGCAUCUUUGCCUGGCCACAAAUUGGUGAGCUCUGCAGCUCAGUAUGAUUAACGGAUUCCAGAUUGGAGCAGAUGUGUAGCAUCUCCAGCCAGGCUGACAAAAAGCAAGGAAUGUGCAAACCCAACCAACAAUCCAUUUGUGGUAGCUCCAACACUUUUGGUAAGCACUGGCCUUACCACAGGCAUAUCACAGUGGUGCCGGGUAUAUGUCAGCCUCCAGAAAUGUUGGACAUGAGCCCCACGCUCAUGUCUGUCUAGGAAACCCUCAACGAAUAUACAGAAAUGUUGGGUACUGGCAGUCAGAUGUAAAAUGCUGUGUUUAACAGCCCUGUUCUCAUGACCAAACUUUUCUCAGUGCCUUCACAAAAUGCUGCUUCAUGGUAUGCAGGCACAACAGCAUUCCUAUCCCACUUUUCCACCUCGGUUUCUAUCAACCCAUGGUGAGACUGUCCUGCCAACCUCUGACUCCAAGAACGGGGACUGCCAGCAAUUAAUCCCAGCAGAUGGGGGCUACAGCUGAGUGUGGGGAGGGGUGAAGCAAGCACAGCCAUGAAGAGCACUAGGGGAAAUCAGCAAAGCAGAAAGAAGUGGCUCUCAGGUGGGAAGUACUGCAGUCAUUGACCAAAAAAAGGAACAAGCUCCAGCCUGGGGCAGCUCACACCUUACCUGGGUGUUAAAGUCCGAUUUCAAAUGUCAGAAAGUACUUCCUUGAGAGUAAGAACAGACUCUCGGAAUCCCAUUUAAUAACAAGGGGUCGAAUUUUCAGUUGGCUGAAAUCUCCAUAAGCCCAACCCAACGAAUUUACAAGGAGCUGAGAUAUGUCCUGUUCAGCCUGAAAAUGAGAACCUCCUCCAUAUGUUUGCCCUCCAACUCCUCACAAUGAAUACUCUGAAUCAUCCCCAGCCAACUGUAUAUUUGUUAUUUGCUGUAUUUAUUUCCAAUUCCAGGAUUAAGAAAAUGGCUCCAGUACUAUGACAUCCAUACAGUUAAAUGUAUCAUUUUCCCAUCGACUGGCUGGCUGUGCCAAGCCAGGCAGCUCGGCUGCUGUCUCCAU
rnacentral:lncRNA from 1 species